rnacentral:lncRNA from 10 species
GCUUGAGAGAGCACUGAGGAGGAGUCACUUAUUCUGCCUGAGGGGAAGUCAGGUUGCUAUCUGAAGUUGGCCUUGCGGCUGCUGUCCCAUUUGCGGGAGCCGUAGCCGCAGGUGACACCUGAGCUCUCGAAAUGUGGCUGGUCUGAAUAGAGAUGUGUUCCAAGAUUUAGAAGAUUUAAUUUAAAAAGUGAUAUUUUGGGUAUAUUGGGUUAAAUAUAUUAAAAUUAAUUUCACCUGGUUUUAACUUUUUAAAUGUGGCUAUAAAUAUGGCUUGCAUUAUAUUUCUAUUGGAUAGUGCUACCUUGCAGCAUUAAGAUGGAUUUGACUAGAAAAGAUGAGAAGGGCCUACAAACAGUGAGUAAACCCAUUGCUGUUAGAAUCUGUUUAUAACCUACAAGUCACAUUCACAUUCCUUAUUUCAUCAUUACAACAAUUUUCAAAAAUUUUAUUUAGUAGACUUAAAAAAUAAUUGACUCACUUAAGGUCAUAUGUGACAAUCAUUCGUUUAAUGCAUAUUUAUUUUCUACGUGUGCCAGACACUGUAACUAAAUGCUGGGAGUUAAAGGAUUCACAGUCUGGGGAAGCACAUGUCAACAAAUAUUUGCAAUAAAAACGUAGAUUCUAAAACAGAGGAACGUACGCUGCACUUGAAGCAAAGAGAAGUGACCACGUAUGGGACGGAGGUCAGAGAAGGCCCCCCACUCUGACAGAAAUCGUGAGGCAGAGAAGAGUCAGGAGGGCUGUCUAAUGAAAGAGGAAAAUGCAGUAGACACGCAGUUGGGAAGAGUAUAGAGCAUAUUCUAGGAGCAGAUCAUGGGAUAUGUCGGGGUAGUAGUAGAGCCAGAAUUUUUAUCCCGGGUCCUGGAACUAAGUCCAGGGGUUCUUUUCACUUAUGCUACCACUGGUGGUAAAUAUAAGGUGCGUUAAUUGGAGUAGGCUAGCAAAACCAGUAUCUCGGGGCUUAACUCCAUAAAGGCUUAUGUUCAUACAAGUCACAGUGUGGUAACAAGUUGGUUGGGGCCAGAGGGUGGGGUCUGUACUUCUUGAAUUCAUUGAAGGACCAGGCUUCUUGCAUUUGGUGGUUCUCCCAUGCCGAGGCCUUGGUAAUGUAGUCAAAUCUGUGGCCCUCAGAUAAGGGAGGCUGGCCGUGGUUAACUUGUCAGAGAUAUUAGGGGCCAGUCCUGGAAGUGGUGUGUAUCAUUUUCACCCCAUUCCCUUAGCCAGAACUCAUGCGCAUGGUCACAUGGCCCUACCCAGAAGGGUGGCUGGGAAGUAAAGAAUGUGUGCCUCAUGGAAAAGGAAAUGGGCGCUGCUGGACACAGCAUUGCCUCGUCACACAGAGUUAAAUUGAACAUAACCAAGUACGUAAACCUGACUUUACCUGAAAAGAAUGUUUGGAAAGAACUGAUAGAUAUUAUAAUAGCCCAAACUCUCCUCGACUGUUUUGGGAAACAAAUCAGUGUGAGAUUGUUUCCAAAAAAUAAAAAAAGCCAGGUGCAGUGUCUCAUGCCUGUAAUCCCAGCACUUUGGGAGGUAGAGGCGGGCGGAUCACAAGGUCAGGAGUUCAAAACCAGCCUGGCCAACAUAGUGAAACCCUGUCUCUAGCUGGGCAUGGUGGUGCGUGCCUGUAGUCCCAGCUACUUGGGAGGCUGAGGCAGGAGAAUCGCUUGAAACCAGGAGGUGGAAGUUGCAGUGAGCAGA